AAGACGAACAAAAAUAUAUCAUUGAAUAUCAUGAAAAUGUAUUAUCGAAUAAAAAUAAUAAACAAAGUAGAUGCAUCAGUGUUUCUACAUAAUCCAUGCAAUCAUUGCUUCUCUAUUUUCAUUACAUAAAAGUCAUCUAAAUGUAACAAAAUAAUGAAUCAGAGGAACAAAUAAAAAUUCACUUCAUUUUAUCGCUGCAUGGAACGAAACUGAUAGCAUCAAACAAUAGCUAAUGAUAUCGGACUGUAAAUGUAAUGUGAAUUGUAUCAGUAAAAAACUAAAAUUCUUUUUGUAGACUGAAACAGUACAAGACACCUUAGAUUAACGCGAAACUUAUUACGCUAUUUUUUCGAAACUAAGUAAUCGCUGUAAUCAAGUGUACGUGUAAUUAAUUUCAUUACAGUGACAGCCCGUAUACCAAAAUCAACCAGGUCUAGGACCCAUGCAUUCAUUUGACAAUUUUUCAUUUUACGAAUAAGUAAAAUGAAACGAAUUCUUAUUUUGGAAGCGAUUACAGGAUUUUCGUAAUGUAUUUAUUCAUUAUGUAUACAAAAUGCACUGCAAAAUCAUAUCCCUACCAAAAAUAAUAUAAGAGCCACUGAAUAUGUGUGGUUUGGCUAGACCUGACUGAUUAAGUUGGAAGUUUCUCACCUGUCCACUGAGGGAACUUACACGCCCUCCGUAUUGUAGCUUGGGCGGAGAACGAGCUGUAGCUUUUAUCAUAGUGGAUGUCUGCAUAUCAGUCAAUUUUUUAAUACAGCGUUGCCCGGCGACGAUAUUACAGACCUAAUAACACGUUUAACAAACCUCGAGGGGUAGAUAUGUGUGCUUAUGCUCUUGUCCAACUUGAAGACACGGAAGAUGCGGAUGACGUUGGGCUUUGUAAAAUGCAGUUGCAGAGACUAUAAUACAAACAAUAUAAUUCAGAUUGAUGGAAACCAAACCAUACUUCUCUACCACCACCUAGUGGAUGAUAAUAUCCAUCUGGUGUACUAAAGAAUGAUCUACCUACAGGAG